rnacentral:rRNA from 1 species
UACGUAGGGUGCGAGCGUUAAUCGGAAUUACUGGGCGUAAAGUGUGCGCAGGCGGUUUUGCAAGUCAAGUGUGAAAGCCCCGGGCUUAACCUGGGAACUGCGCUUGAAACUACGGAACUCGAGUAUGGCAGAGGAAGGUGGAAUUCCACGUGUAGCGGUGAAAUGCGUAGAGAUGCGGAGGAACACCGAUGGCGAAGGCAGCCCCCUGGGCCGACACUGACGCUCAGGCACGAAAGCGUGGGGAGCAAACAGG